rnacentral:lncRNA from 1 species
UCUUCUUAAGAAACAACAACAAAUAAGCGUUGAGAACUUACCAAGUGGCAGGCACUGUAGGAGAUGCCAACUGUUCAUCAUGGACCUUCAUGUUGCAGCUUGGGCCCAUCUUCCCCAUCUCAUCUCCCAGGACUCAAACUAGCAAAUCUCCUUAGGCUACUGUGAGGAGGAUGGAUUAAAAUGGGGAAAAGGCUGAAGCAGGGGGAAUUAAUUAGGAACCUGUUACAGUAUAAUUAGGGACAAAUUAUGAUGGUCUGCAU